rnacentral:misc_RNA from 1 species
AAACAUGGCCAGGCAAGAUGGCUUAUGUCUUUAAUCUCAGCUGUUUGGGAAGCCAAGUGGAAAGAUUGCUUGAGGCCAGGAGUUCAAGACCAACCUGGAUAAUACAGCCCAGUCCCAAAAAAGCACCUGAAGCUUGUUUUAGUUUUCAUUCUUCUUAUGAGAGAAAUUGGGCCUGAUGCUGAAGGAGAACUCUUCUGUCCACUGCAAGUCCACUUACAUGAGCAGCUAAAUAAAUGAAUGGGAUUCUGAAGGACUGUAUGUGGAGAGCAAGGUUAACCAUUUGUGCUUGCUGCAUGAGUGAAUAAGCAACGAUGAGUGUUAGGCUGUUUAUUCAGAUACCCUCACGCCACUGCAGAAGCGAGUAGAGGAAGAAUACAAGGAAAAAAGUGUCUCCCAGCCUGUGGAAAGAGGAUGGCUAUUUCAUCCACUAAAGGUGUACACUUUAAGUGAAUUGGUAUGUCUACAUCAUCCCAGGAGGAGUGAAUGUCUGUGUGUGUGUACCUGAGAUAAGAUGAUGUCUUGUCCAAUGCUGGUUUCCACCUUGUGCCCUGAGCUGUUGGGAGAGGCUCCUGCGACCUGUGACCCUGAAGCAGAAUAAGUGGACUGAAUAAAGGAAUGAUGCGUAU